rnacentral:lncRNA from 1 species
GACCUGGUUUCUCUUUUUGGAAAGUUUUGGAAGCUAAAGGCCACCUGCUUGGAGGUAGGAGACAGGCCGGGCUGACUGCCAAAUUCUCCUUCCAGACGGGAAUGGAGGGCUUUGAGCUGCUGGGUGAGUCACUGCCACCUGUGACCGGUCUGGGCUGAACCACGUGAACUUGUGGGGCCCAGUGCAAGCUGAGGGCAUGGGGUCCACUCCUGGGCACCCUCAGGACCUCCCAGCAGUCACAGCUCCCGACACACUCCUGGUGACACUAGGAAAGGAAACCACACACUUCGGUCCCCCUCGGACUGGGACACACCCAGCCUGAUUGUGCCCAUGUUAGAGAUGUGGAAACGGAGGCACAGAGGACAGACAAUGGUGGUACAGCCUCUACAGGCCCCUGUACCCUGAGAUCUGGGGGACCUCCCUGCUGGCCUGUCCUUCAGAAGGGAUCAGUCCUAGCCGGACACAGAGACACCAAGAGACACGGACGCGGUGGGAGACCCAGGGAGAUGCAGACCCAGCGAGAGCUGGAGACAGUGACGCUGAGAGACCUUGAGUCGGCAAGUGCUAGCGAGACCCUGUGUCUGGCUGAGUCUCCGUGAGGACCCGGACGUACUUCCUGAGGCCCACGGAAGCUGCAAAUGUUGGGUCCCUUGCUGAGAAGUCAUUGAGGUUCCAGGCCCCACCUUCCCACAGCCCUGGGCUGUGAAGGCGCACACUGUCUCUCCCGGGCGGGCGGGAUGGCGGGGCGGCACACAAAGGGGCAU